AGGCCGAAAGGCGUAGUCGAUGGGAAACAGGUUAAUAUUCCUGUACUUGGUGUUACUGCGAAGGGGGGACGGAGAAGGCUAUGUUAGCCGGGCGACGGUUGUCCCGGUUUAAGCAUGUAGGCUGGUUGUCCAGGCAAAUCCGGAUAAUCAAGGCUGAGGUGUGAUGACGAGGCACUACGGUGCUGAAGUAACAAAUGCCCUGCUUCCAGGAAAAGCCUCUAAGCAUCAGGUAACAUUAAAUCGUACCCCAAACCG
rnacentral:rRNA from 2 species